GGGAAGAAGGCAAGGUGGUAGCCACUUGCGCUCCUCGCGUGAACAUUGUGCUUGUUCUUGGUGUCUCCCUUGACCUUUUGUGACCUCUCCUUGCUACGACAUUCUUUGGACCUGCUACUUCACCAGCACUAACGGAGGUGAGUGCCGGUGCCAUGAGUCGCCAAGGGGUGCCACGCUGCCUGAUGGAUGAAGUGCCACUGGGCUAUGGGUUAAGUGCACCACUUGAGGAGACAAUCAGGGGCUUUCUCCACAGUAACGUCAUCACCAAAUAUGUCAUGGAGAACUUUAGUAAAUUAACACUCUGCUCUUCCAUUUCUGUUACUCUCAUUUUUUCUUAUUGUGGUCCAGUCUUGGUGAGGAGAGACCAGACACACAGCUAGGAACACACACACACACACACACACACACACACACAUUUCAUAGAAGCUUAGGAUGUGUGUUUUUCUUUUUUUUUUUAUAUGUGUAUGUGUAUGUAUGUGUCUUGUGCGCACACCUGCCCCCCCCCCACACACACACACCUGCAAAUUGUUUAUCUGGUGUUAUCGCUUACCCUCACGAACCACCAGGAGCAGUGAACUUUUUGAAAUGGCUGUGUGAUAAUGAUAUUCUCUCUCUCUCUCUCUCUCUCUCUCUCUCUCUCUCUCUCUCUCUCUCUCUCUCUCUCUCUCUCUCUCUC